rnacentral:rRNA from 1 species
AUGAACGCUGACAGAAUGCUUAACACAUGCAAGUCUUUGGCGAAGCUGUGCUUGCACAGCCUAGCCAAGGCGGACGGGUGAGUAACACGUAAGGAACUUGCCCUGCAGUCAGGGAUAACAGACGGAAACGACUGAUAAGACCUGGUAAAGUCAGGCGGACUCAUGUCCAGCCUGAUGAAAAGAGAUGCUGCAGGAGAGCCUUGCGUCCUAUUAGCUUGUUGGUGGGGUAACGGCCCACCAAGGCGAUGAUAGGUAGCCGGCCUGAGAGGGUGGACGGCCACAAGGGGACUGAGAUACGGCCCUUACUCCUACGGGAGGCAGCAGUGGGGAAUAUUGGACAAUGGGGGCAACCCUGAUCCAGCAAUUCUGUGUGCACGAUGAAGGUUUUCGGAUUGUAAAGUGCUUUCAGCAGGGAAGAAAAAAAUGACGGUACCUGCAGAAGAAGCGACGGCUAAAUACGUG